rnacentral:rRNA from 1 species
GGGUUGUGAGGUUAAGCGACUAAGCGUACACGGUGGAUGCCCUGGCAGUCAGAGGCGAUGAAGGACGUGCUAAUCUGCGAUAAGCGUCGGUAAGGUGAUAUGAACCGUUAUAACCGGCGAUUUCCGAAUGGGGAAACCCAGUGUGAUUCGUCACACUAUCAUUAACUGAAUCCAUAGGUUAAUGAGGCGAACCGGGGGAACUGAAACAUCUAAGUACCCCGAGGAAAAGAAAUCAACCGAGAUUCCCCCAGUAGCGGCGAGCGAACGGGGAGGAGCCCAGAGCCUGAAUCAGUGUGUGUGUUAGUGGAAGCGUUUGGAAAGGCGCGCGAUACAGGGUGACAGCCCCGUACACAAAAAUGCACAUGCUGUGAGCUCGAUGAGUAGGGCGGGACACG